ACGCUAGCUACAGGCUUAACACAUGCAAGUCGAGGGGAAACGACAUCGAGAGCUUGCUUUUGAUGGGCGUCGACCGGCGCACGGGUGAGUAACGCGUAUCCAACCUGCCCACCACUUGGGGAUAACCUUGCGAAAGUAAGACUAAUACCCAAUGACAUCCCACGAAGACAUCUGAAUGGGAUUAAAGAUUUAUCGGUGAUGGAUGGGGAUGCGUCUGAUUAGCUUGUUGGCGGGGUAACGGCCCACCAAGGCAACGAUCAGUAGGGGUUCUGAGAGGAAGGUCCCCCACAUUGGAACUGAGACACGGUCCAAACUCCUACGGGAGGCAGCAGUGAGGAAUAUUGGUCAAUGGACGAGAGUCUGAACCAGCCAAGUAGCGUGCAGGAUGACGGCCCUAUGGGUUGUAAACUGCUUUUAUAAGGGAAUAAAGUGAGUCUCGUGAGACUUUUUGCAUGUACCUUAUGAAUAAGGACCGGCUAAUUCCGUGCCAGCAGCCGCGGUAAUACGGAAGGUCCGGGCGUUAUCCGGAUUUAUUGGGUUUAAAGGGAGCGUAGGCCGGAGAUUAAGCGUGUUGUGAAAUGUAGAUGCUCAACAUCUGCACUGCAGCGCGAACUGGUUUCCUUGAGUACGCACAAAGUGGGCGGAAUUCGUGGUGUAGCGGUGAAAUGCUUAGAUAUCACGAAGAACUCCGAUUGCGAAGGCAGCUCACUGGAGCGCAACUGACGCUGAAGCUCGAAAGUGCGGGUAUCGAACAGGAUUAGAUACCCUGGUAGUCCGCACGGUAAACGAUGGAUGCCCGCUGUUGGUCUGAAUAGGUCAGCGGCCAAGCGAAAGCAUUAAGCAUCCCACCUGGGGAGUACGCCGGCAACGGUGA
rnacentral:rRNA from 1 species